UUUUUUUUUUUUUUUUUUUUUUUUGCAUGAUAUUGUUAAUCUUCCCUGGAACAAAGAAAGGAAAAUAGUCAUGGCCAAGGACAUGAAUUAGGUCAUGGCAGAGAAUUCUUAUUUCCCAUGCAUAGCACCAGUGAAUGGUUCGUUCCAGCCUAUUAAUUAUUUAAAUAGUUAUUAUCUAUGUUUGUCCUUCUUGCUUGAUGUGAAAACUGCUGAUCUAAGCUUAUCUGCAUAACAUCUUGUAGCAAUACAAAGAGUGUGUAUGGGAUCUUUUUUAGUGGAGAAGAAAGAGGAGGGUGAAUGUUACUAUGAAUCAGGCAGCAUGUCAGUCAUUUUCACAUACAUUACCCCAUUUAAUUAUGAUAACAAACUUGAAAAAUAGGUAUAUUAACUUCUAUUUAUAAAUGAAACAACCUAGAUUAAUAAAUCCGGGGCUCAGGAUAUGAUCCCAGUGUUUGAUUCCAGACCCUAGAAUGUAUAUUUAGGCCCUGUAUUUUUUUCCAUGAUGCUAUUCAGAAAGUGCUUUAUAUGUCAUAUCUCAUAUUUCUCUACAUGCCUAUGAAGUAAGCAAGGAUUAAAUGAUAUGAUGCUGAUUUUACAGAUUGAACAUUUGCAAAACUAAGCAGGAGAGCCAGUUUAGGGAAUCCAAUGAGUCAAUGGAUUUUCCCCAAAGAAAAAUAUAUGCGAUUUGAAAAGCUGUUUUACACCAUGCCUUAUUGUGGUAGGCUGAAAAAACACUGUUCUCCCCCAACAAGGUAAACUUACUUCCUAAUCCCUGGAAUGUUUGACUAUUACUUUAUUGGGCAAAAGAUUGAAUAUUACCUUAGGUGGGAAAUGAUGUGAUUAAGUUAGGGAUAUUGAGAGGCAAGAGUUUAUCCUGAAUUACCUGGGUAAAUACUAAGUGUAAUCACAUGUAUCCUCAUAAAAGAGAAGCAAAGGGAAAAUGAGACAGAAUGUAGAAGAUACAUACACAUAGAGAAGUGAUUUGAAGUUGGACCAGAGAGGGAUGCUGCUAUGAGCCAAGGAAUGCUGACACUACCAGAAACUGGAAGACACAAGGAAUAAGUUCUAUGCUAGAGCCUCCAAAGGGAGCUGAGCCAUGCUGACACUUUGAUUUCUGACUUCUGCCUGCAGAACUGUGAGGGAAUAAAUUUCUCUCUUUUUGUUUUUUUAAUUCUUUAAAAUUUUUAUAAUGAUUUUUAUUUUUCCAUUACAGCUGGUUUACAGUGUUCUGUCAAUUUUCUACUGCCCAGAAAGGUGACACGUACAUGUAUACAUUCUUUUUUUCUCACAUUAUCAUGCUCCAUCACAAGUGACCAGUGCCAUACAGCUCCAUCCCAGUGCUAUACAGCAGGAUCCCAUUGCUUAUCCAUUCCAAAAGCAAUAGUUUGCAUCUAUUAACCCCAAAUUCCCAGUCCAUUCCAUUCUCUCCUGCUCCCCCUUGGCAAUCACAAGUCGAUUCUCCUUGUCCAUGCCACAUACACAGCAUAUGGAAGUUCUCUGGCCAGGGAAUGAAUCUGAGCCACAACUUUGACCUGUGCCACAGGUGCAGCUACACCAGAUCCUUUAACCCACUGUGCCAUGCUGGGGAUUGAACCUGUACCUUCGCAGUGACUGGAGCUGCUGCAGUCAGGUUCUUAACCCACUGUGCCACAGUAGGAACUCCUAAGUUUCUGUAGUUUUAAUCCAUCAGAUUUGUGUUAGUUUUUUACAACAGUCAAAGGAAAUGAAUACAUCUGUUAUUCAUUAUUAAUUGGGAGGUAAUAUAUUCAAUAGGUACUUUUUCUAAAUACCUAGAUGACACUGGGAGGCAAAAUAUUAUGGUGUUUAUGCUUCUGAAAUCAUAAAGAUAUUAGUUUAAACUCAAACUCUAUUACUGAUGAUCUUAGGUAAUAUAUUUAUGCCUCUAAGUAUCACUUUUCUUAUUUAUAGAAUUGAGAAGUUGCUAGUAUCUACCAAAUAGAAUUGUUUGAAGAAUUAAAUGAGAUAAUACAAUAAUAACAUAUAGUACUUAGCACAACAUUUUCCACAUAAACAUUCAGCAAAUGUUAGCAAUAAGAAAAUAGUAAGAACCUAAGGGAUAUGCUGAAAAAUAUAAAAAGUGUUAAAUCAUCUUGCUCUUUGUUGUAAGUCUCAGAAAAAAGUUAUAGGAAAAGGCAUAAAAAGAAAAUUAGUAAGAAAUGACUUUUCUGAAAGCUUCAGUUUAUUUUGAGUUUGCUAAAUUAACAUUUACCCUGAAUAUAGAUGAAAAAAUCUUAAAUAAAAUACUAGCAAAUUCAAUCCAGAAAUGUGAAAAAAAAUGCACAUGAGAUUGUGGUGCUUCUUUCAGUAAUGCAAAGUUGGCUUUAUAUUAAAAAUUCAACAAAUGUAAUAUACCACUUUAAAAGAGUAAGAGAUAAAUUUAAAAUGAAUAUAUAAAAGGGAGCCUUAAAAUGAUCUCGGUAGAUACAGUAGAAAGACUGUUUGAUAAAACUUAACACCCUUCAUGAUAAAAUUCUUAGCAAAAACUAAAAAUAGAAGAAAUCUUCAAGCAGAUAAAUAGCACUUUUGCAUCUACAGAUAAUAUUGUACUUAAUCAUGAAAGAUUAAACCUUUAUUUCCUCUGAAAUUUGAAACAAGAAAAGGUUGUUUGCUCUAACCAUAUCUAUUCAGCAUUGUACUAGAAGUCCUAGCCAAUGCAAUAAGGCAAUUAAGAGAAAUGAAUAGCAUAAGUACUUAAAAGGAAGAAAUUAAAAUGUUGUUUGCAGAAAAAUAACUAUCUAAAGUGAAUAACUUUAACAGGCUUGCAGAAUACAAUGUCAAUAUGAGAAAAGGAUAUUUUUAUAUAACAAAUGAAAAAUUGGAGAACUUACACUAUUUAAAACUUGGAACUAAAGCAAGAGUAAUUAAGACAAUGUGGUAUUACAAUAAGGAGAGUUAGAGUUUAAAAACAACUUUACAUAUAAAUCGCUCAUUGAUUUUUUUUUUUGUUUGAUCAAGAUGCCAAGUCAGUUCAAUAGACAGAGAAAAUUCCUUUAACAAAUGUUGCUGGGGUAUCUGGAUAUCCAUGUAUUUGAAAGAGUCUCAAUCCCUCUUAAAUCAUAUCAAAAUUAAUUAAUUUGCAAUGAAUAAUAGACUUACAAAUAAAACCCAGACUCCUAAAGCUUCUAAAAGCCCAAGAGGGAGUUACUGCUGUGGUGCAACGGAAUUGGCAGUGUCUCCGCAGCACCAGGAUGCAGGUUUGAUCCCGGGAUCUGGUAUCCUGUGUCGCUACAGCAUGGCUCUGAAGUGCUGUGGAGAGGCUAAAAAAGAAAGGAAAAAAAAAAAAAACAACAACAAAAACAAGAGAAUAUCUUCAUAGUUUCAAGGUGGCACAAUCUUUUUUUUGAGAAAACAUCAAAGUAAUGAUAU
rnacentral:lncRNA from 1 species